rfam:Chlorocebus sabaeus isolate 1994-021 chromosome 6, whole genome shotgun sequence.
GCUGGGCGUGGUGGCUCAUGCCUGUAAUUCCAGCACUUCGGGAGGCUGAGAUGGGAGGAUUGCUUGAGCCCAGCAGUUCGAGGCUGCAGUGAGACUUGAUAAUGCCACUGCACUCCAGCCUGGGUGACAGAGUGAGACCCCAUCUCUU